AGGCGCUGGGAAGGGGACGGCCGGGAGCGCCGUGACGGGGCACGGGGCGAGCCCGCGGUGUCCCAGGAGAGCCGCGGGGCAGCGGGAUCGGCUCCCGGGCGGGACAGCUUCCUGCGGACUUGGGCACCGGGCGCUCCGUCCCGCGGCCGGGGCGCCGCGGAUCAGCCCGGAAAGUUUGGGAAGGCGGAGGGCGGGCAGGGAGCUGGGAGCCGGCCGGGAUCGGCGGGAGGGAGCCGCCGCCGGGCCACGCUCCCGGCACUGCGUGUCAGUCCCCGGGAAGCUCCGCUGAGAGGCUAGCGAGGAAAAGAACUGCUCCAAAGACUCGCAGAAGACUUUGGGAGCAUGCAUCAGCCCCAGUGAAACUGAGAGAAGCCCAUUAAGAAAUCCGAUUAGCUGUCUGCUCUCUAGAUGUUCGUGUCCGUGCGGAGACCUGGCUGAAUGAAACCUGUGGAGUACUGCAAUAGCAAUGGAGAUGAAUUGCCACAUGGGAACUGAACUUUUCAUCAGCUCUUGCCACAUAAAUAUAGUCCUGAAUAUUUUGAAGGUUUAUGAACAAUUUUGAUCUGUUUUUAGCAUCCUCAGCUGAUUGAAACUUCAGCUUGCCCUCAAGGAAAGUGAGGUGAUACCUGUGGUACAGCAUGAUGGAUAAGAGUGAAAUUGUCUCACUUUGAAAAGAAAAGGUGUCUUUUUCCCUGUCGACUUGGUGUGAAAAAGCUUGCAAAGGCUUCCAGCAGCACUGCAUCCGAGACAGGCAUCAGCAGAAGGACUGAGGUCAUCUUUAAUUCGAUACCAGGAUGUCCACAGCCCAGGGUGCAGCCAUUAAUAUUCUGUCUGUAAGCUGUGGAAGACAGACUCUGAAGAGGUGCCUAAGGACAUGAUUCCUCAGCCCCUCUUGAAAGCUGACAAGACCUAAUUCUGAAGGAAACGUUCAUGUUUGUGAAAUGGACUCGUUCAGAAUUUUUGCAGCCUUUUUGGAUAAGGCCAUGUUUCUUGCACAGCCAGCCACUCAACAGAAAAGAAUUCUUCAGCCUCUUGUUUCAAAAGACCUUGGACAAUCUUCUGCUGUUUCACUCCCUUUGGUCCCUCACUUCAGCAAUAAAAAGAUCCAAAGAGGAGGAUGAGGCAGCUUAGAGGAAAACCUAAAAAAGAGACCUCCAAAGAUAAAAAGGAGAGAAAACAGGCAAUGCAAGAGGCCCGGCAACAAAUCACCACCGUGGUGCUUCCCACACUGGCUGUCGUAGUACUGCUGAUUGUUGUGUUUGUUUAUGUAGCGACUCGUCCAAAUACAACUGAAUGAUGCAGCUUUUCAGACUCCCUAGCUUUGGGAUAUUAAUUUUACCAAGAGCCAAAAGGAACACUCUGCCACUCUUUUAGUACUUUGCAAAGGAUCUUGCUGGUAUUUUCAGUCUUUCUCUUGGCUACAGUCCCACAGAUUCUCUUUAGGAAUGUAACAUAAAACGUAUUAGUGAAUGUGCCAGUACGUUUUAUGGUCGAGUUAUGUGCCUUUCAGACUUUUAAAAAUGGUGUUUUUCUUAAAGCUGUUUGAAGCUCUAUAUUGUAAAAGGAAAUCGUGUUCUGCUAUAAAUUUGUAAAAAAUCAGCUUUCAGCUUUUAUCACUGUUAUGGAUAAUGUUGCUCCCAUGAGCUCUUGUAUGUCUAUUUCAGAACUUCCAAAGAAGUACAUUUCUUCUUUGUACUUAAUGUCAUAUGAAGUGCUUUGAUUCAGAAAGGAUAUAUUUAUUUUUUGAAUAAAAGAAGUCUUACUUGGAAUCUUCAAAUUAUUUUGCAAAAAAAAAUGUGACAUUGUGAAAGCCUACAUUGUGUAAUAAUUUUUUCAUCAACCACUAUAUAGUUCACUCAAAAAGAAUUUCUUUUUGGUGCGGGAUGCCAACAUGCAAAGUGAAUACUUCAGGAUGGGAUCUUGCAGAAUUUGGACAGGGAGAUUCUGCCACAUUAUGGUGAAGUAACUAGUAACAAACUACAUAAACGCAGAUAGUUUCUUAUCUGAAUGUUCAAUAUUUGAAACUGUGUAAGUGGCAAUAAAAAGGUGGUUUGGCAUACA